AAGGACGUGAACUGGGAACCCAAACCUCGAAGGAAGAACAUGAAUAUUAAUGUGAAAGACGUGUAAUUUUUUUUUUUUUGCUAAUCGAGUAUUCUGACCCCACCGAAGUGGUCUAGACUAGAGACCGAAGUGGUUUAGACUAGAGAUCGAAGUGAGCAUGAACGCUGCUAGGACGUCACCAUGUGGCUUACCGUGUAACGGUCUUCG
rnacentral:lncRNA from 1 species